rnacentral:lncRNA from 1 species
UUGACACGAGAUAUAUAAUUUUGAAUUGUUUAAAUUUUAAAGAAUGAAAAGACAACUAACAAUCAUUGAUAAUAAUUACAGCUUUAGUAAUUUAUAUUUUUCAAAAAUGAUUUGCAUAAUGCACAAUUCAUUAAAAGAGCCAUGUAAAACGAUUGAGUGCAUAAAAAUUAAUUUAUUUAUUUUAUAGUUCAUUCUUAGGAAAGCUGUUACCUGUUUGUUUGGUUUUGUGUUUUUUUCUAUUUUUCUCGUGUCUUUGUGUCGCAAACACAUAAAUAUAAGUUGAUUAAAAAUGUACUGUGUUCAAUCUUUCAGGUGUUCUUAUUAUGAUCAUUUUUUAUAUUUACAUUCUUAUGUUGUAUUUAAUCAUGCGGUUGUCUUAUUGUAAAAAAUAUCUGAGACAUGUAAUUACAUAAUAGUUGGAAUGUAUGCAUCAUGCACACAAUCUUGAUUAUCUGGUAUUUCAUACUUAUUUUAAAUAAUGAAGAAAAAUGAAUUGGAGAAUAGUUUUUGUACAAAUCAAAAGAUUGAUUUGAUUGUAAGUUUACAAAAUUUGAGUAAUAAAAUAAUAUUUUUUUAUGAAACAAUUUUCCUAUGAUACUUCAUAUAUAUAUAUAUAUAUAUAUUCAUACAUACACACACAUAUAGAGUUACAUAAUUAUCACUAAUAUAAUGAAUUUGGUGUAUGUUUUAGUAUGAUACAGGUUUUCUCGUUGCAUUAUUUAUAAAUUUUACAUUUUAAAACUUUCUGCUCCGUCUAUACUUUCUAUUAAAAAUUGACAAUCUCUGGUAAGGCAUGUGACCUUACGUUACAAACACAAUUAUAAAAGUUACUCAAAUGU